AAUAAAUUGGAAAAAAAAAAAACAAAAAAAAGAAAAAAAAAUAAAUAAAAUCUUUAAAAAAAAAAGAGGUAUGGACUUAGGGGACAGAAGUGACAGAAAAAAAGGCUAUUCUAAGAUAGACGGGUAAUAAGUCUCAGCAAAGUUAAAAAAAAUAAAAAAGGGAACACAUGCUGUGUGAUGAUAGGAGGAAACACCAUUCCAAGCAAAGAGACUCACAAGUGCAAAGACCUAGAGAGGGAACUAGGUAUAUUCCAAGAACUCUUGGAAGUUGAGUGACCAAUUAUUCCAGUUUGUCAAGGUCUACAAGGAUCCCUGGAGACCUCAUCUUUAAAUGUGAAAAGAGAAAAUCCUGAAAAAAUAAUAAUGAGCUGGAAUAUUAUCUUGGGAAUUCACCUUGACCAGAGCAGAUAAAAAAUGGAGAAAGUGGAGGAAAACGAGCUUACUGAGGUUGGCAAAUAAGAAUAAAUACAAAUGAAAAAUAUAUAAUUAUAUGCACCUUCUUAAGAAGAGACUUUACAGUGGAAGAAAGAAAGUAAGACAUAAAGAAAGAAAUAAAGUGUCUUAAAAUCAGCAACAUGGACGGGAC